rnacentral:rRNA from 1 species
GAUGAACGCUGGCGGCGUGCCUAAUACAUGCAAGUCGAGCGAACAGACGAGGAGCUUGCUCCUCUGACGUUAGCGGCGGACGGGUGAGUAACACGUGGAUAACCUACCUAUAAGACUGGGAUAACUUCGGGAAACCGGAGCUAAUACCGGAUAAUAUGUUGAAUCGCAUGGUUCAACAGUGAAAGACGGUCUUGCUGUCACUUAUAGAUGGAUCCGCGCCGCAUUAGCUAGUUGGUAAGGUAACGGCUUACCAAGGCAACGAUGCGUAGCCGACCUGAGAGGGUGAUCGGCCACACUGGAACUGAGACACGGUCCAGACUCCUACGGGAGGCAGCAGUAGGGAAUCUUCCGCAAUGGGCGAAAGCCUGACGGAGCAACGCCGCGUGAGUGAAGAAGGUCUUCGGAUCGUAAAACUCUGUUAUUAGGGAAGAACAAAUGUGUAAGUAACUAUGCACGUCUUGACGGUACCUAAUCAGAAAGCCACGGCUAACUACGU